rnacentral:rRNA from 1 species
GGUGGCGCACGGGUGAGUAACACGUAUGCAACCUACCCUGUACUGGGGGAUAGCCCGGAGAAAUUCGGAUUAAUACCCCAUGAUUAUAUCGAGAGGCAUCUUUUGAUAUUUAAAGUUUCGACGGUACGGGAUGGGCAUGCGCAACAUUAGCUAGUUGGUAGGGUAACGGCCUACCAAGGCUACGAUGUUUAGGGGACCUGAGAGGGUGAUCCCCCACACUGGUACUGAGACACGGACCAGACUCCUACGGGAGGCAGCAGUGGGGAAUUUUGCGCAAUG